UGCAUUGUUAAGUAAGAUCAUCUUUGUAUCUGAAUGCAGGUAUACACCCAUUGAAAGCAAAAGAGAAGAGAAUGGCCAGAACCAUAAAGAAUUGUAUUCAUCUGUAGUUGAGUACCUGGUCCUUCCCAAGGUUACAACUCUUUAUAUUUGUUUUAAACUGUCAAAUGAGAACCAUUCAGAUCACCCCAUGUCAGUCAUCGGUCCUUCUGACCGUUGUCCCAUCGCCUUUAAUCCAAGCGACGCAUAAAUCUAGGGACCUGAUACACAAUUUCAAGUUCUUUUUAUAGUGCCUUUGCUACACUCCAUCUUAUUACAUUCCAACUUUUCUCUCUAAGUCUAAAAUCAAAACCUUCUCAAUAUUUCUAUCUCUCUCUAGCAUUUAAGUAUUCUCUUUCAAACAAUAAUGUCUCAAUCCUCUUCUUCUUCAAAGAAAAUGCUAGAUUCUCUAAAUGAGAUAAAUCUAGUGGCUUCUUGCACCUUUUCUGAAGCAGCUUCUGUUGAUAAAAGGGACAAGUCGUCUAAGAAAGUGAGUAAAGGUAAAAGCAAAAGAAAACUAAGACUUUUGCGGGAAAGAAGGUUGUUAUAAAAAAAAGGUACUAUGGCUUCUGCAACUGAUCUAUUCAUCAUGUGAGUGUAUUGAAAGAAAGGGAAAUGCACUUAGUAAAGUUUCUCAGUUGAUUUUAAGGGGUAGGACCAAUUGAAACAUGAAUUAGAUGCAAUAACUAUGCUAGUGAGCAACAAGGAGGAUGAAAUUGCUCUGUUAAAAGAAGAACUGCUCAAAGCGCAAACAGAGGGACCUGUUACUGAGGUUGUCUAGAAGAUAGAAAACCUAAAUGAUGAUCUAUUGGCAAAAGUUGUUUCUCUUCAAGAGAAGAUGAUCAAGGAUACUGAUGCAUCGAACUCUACACUCACCCUUAUUAUCAAGUCCCUCUUUCAUAUACCUCCCUCUUCAUAGUCCUUCCUAUGUCUUUCCUUUGUGUGGAUAGUGUCUGGGGUUCUUAGUUUUCAGUUUAACUUAAAUGUAUUGAAUGCUGAUUUGUUAUGCUCAUGAUAUGGAAUCUUGUUUUAUUAAGGCUAAAGUCUGUUGCUUUUUGGCUUAUUAACUAUGUUAGUGUUCUCCUUGACUGUGAUCUUACUUAUCAAUCUUACUUUUUGUGUUGGUUUACUGUACUACUUUUUUAUGAUGCCAAAAGGGUAAUAAAUUGGGAGUGUUCAGAUGAUGCUUAGGUUGGUAAGAAGUACAGGGGGGAGAAAGAAAAAGCGACAGGGGGAAAUGAAAACAUGCAUGUACCAAUGUAACUCAAGGAAAAUAUGCACGUACCAGUGUUACUCAAGGACCUUGUAAAGGUACCUAUCCAUGGUGUAGGAAACUAAUGAGUGUGUCUACUCGACAGGGGGAAUAAAUUCAGGCAUUGGUGUAUGGUUUGUCAUCAUCAAAAAGAGAGAGAAAAUGUUAUUUGGAGUUUGAUGAUGUGACAAACUCAAAGUCCUUGUCAAGAGACCUGAUUCAUUGUGCAAAUGUUCAUGCAACUGCGAGGUCUUUAUCGACACGGGGAAGGAAACAUGGAAGAACAUGCAGACACUGGUGUACUGUUUGUCACCAUCAAAAAGGGGGAAGAUGUUAUUUGUAGUUUUUAUGAUUUCACAAACUUAGGGACCUUAUGAAGGGACAUGGUUCUUGGCUCAAUAUGAUUUUUGGCUGCUAGCUGGACGAAGUACAAAAAGUUAGUGCACAGUCUCCAACAGUGGUAGACGCGCCAGAAACCUCAGCCAAUGGGAUUGUUUUAUGUUUUGUGACCUUUUUACAUAAAUAAAACAUCCCUAUAUUCACAAUUAGUUUUUGCAACUUGAAAAAUAUCUCAAGAACUCUUGGAAAGGCUUUCAAAAAGGAGUGAAGUAGCAUCCUCAAGAUCAACUCAAAUAUGAAAGAGCUGGAAGCUUAGUUGUCUUAGGAUUAUUUCUUCUGCAUGUAAAUUGUAAAUCUGUUCCUCCAUUUAUAAAGUAAUCAGGUAGUUGUUUGGUGUGAAAAUCCUAAAUCAGUUGAGUCCAACUAAUUUAGUCGGCAGCCUUGAGUGUUGCUUAGUAAAAAUCCUAAGUCAUUCGGAGCGUGGUGAUUUAGUGGGCAACCUGCGUGUUGCUUAGUUGAUCCUAAGUAGCUUAGUGGGCAGAGUGAAAUCUGCUUAGGCUCUUCAACCAAUAGAGUUAUUGCUUAAUAGUGAGAUUAAUAACUUUUUAUCACGUUUUUGUAAACAAUUUUACUUUUGCUUGUGAAGACUAGUGGAAACGGUUUAAAAUCUUGUGAGGUAGGUUGUUGUUUUACUCCCUUGAGCAAGGAGGUUUCUGCCUUUAUUUACAGUUGUUCAUAUUUUGAGUGUGUCAAAGGACCUGAUCCAUUGACGGAUAGUGAAUGCACAUAUUCUAACAAUUAGAGUAUAAAUUAUCUCAAAAUAGAUUAUCAUAUAUUUUAUUCCAACCAAAUAUGGAAUAAUUCAUCCUAUUAAUUCCAUAAUUAAUUAUGUUUUAUCCUCAUACAAAAUGAGGCCUAAAGAUCGUAUGAGAAAAACUAAACUGUUUGAAUUUGCUAAAAUAAACAACAUGAAAUGAUAUAGGGACGAAGUAAAAUGAAAUGAAUGGAGUAUUAACCGUCCUUAAUAUGCUAUUGUCAUAAUUUAUUAUUACUAGUUAUGCAACUUAUAAUAUUGAUUAAAAUAUAACACCAAUAUUUUUAAAUUAAGUUUUAUCCAUAUAUUAGAGAAUGUAUAACGUAUAUGGUACUAAGUAGGUGGAUAAGGAAAAGGUUAUUAACUCAUAUAAUUAAUACGAUCUGUGAAGGUUGAUAAGAAAAAAGAAACUAUUCAUGUAUGUAACUAUUACAUGUAAUGCUAUCAAGCAGUCAAACGACUCCUAUAUUUUUAUUAUGUCACAACUAAUACAUAGCUUUGUUAUUUAUGUAUUAUAUUUUUUAUACCAUGUUUGAUUAUUUUUUUUCAAAUAGAAUCAAAGUAAUUCAUGUAUUAAUUUUAUAAAAUGUUUGGUUGUAUGUUUUUAAAUAUUGUAUAAAAAUUAUUCAUAUAUUAUUUUAUGUAAUGUUUGGUUUAUUAUUUUUCAUGUGUCAUAUAAAAUUAUUCAUGUAUUUGUUCUAUAAAAUGUUUUUGUUGCAUUUAUUGUAAUCCUAGACAAUUAAUACAUGUGGAACUUAUGAGGAAAUAUAUGUAUAAUAUAUGUGGGACAGUAGGUGAAAGAUGUUAUGUGUGUUUUUGUUAUACAUGCAUUAAAAUAUUAAAUUACUUUUGGCCAAAUCCAUCGGUGGCCCCCUAAACUUGGAACAAAUUUUUACUCAUACAGCUCAAUUACGCGGUGUUCAUUUUAGACACCUCAUUUAGGAUUUUAUUGUGUCAUUUUGACACUUUUUGCUGACAUGUCAAAAUGAGUGUCAUACACUGAACAAUAGCACGUGAAAGACUUUAUUUAGCCAUUUUUUAUUUUAUUUUCUCUUUUUCUUCUCCAUUUUUUCAAGGCAUCAACCUCUUUCAAGCUUAAAUUCCUUCAAUGGAGGUUAUUUUAAGCUAAAUAUAGAUGGUUCCUUCAUGAUGAAACAAAGAGAUAGCGGUAUUGGUGGAGUCGUCCGAGACGAUCACGAAAAAUUGGAAGGCUGGUUUCUAAAAAAAAGCUAGCAGUCAUACUUAUAUUAUUGCCGAACUUGAAGCCCUCCUUGAAGGUUUAAAGUUGGCAGAUAUGCUAAAUCUCCAACCCUUGGAAGUCUAAACAGACUCCACUGAUCUACUCGAUUACUUAAGAGGAACCGAACGUUUUGUAUUCUUCAAUUGUCAUUCUCGCAGGUUAAUGUUGAAGAGGUUGGGGAAUCUAGUAGUGCGUCAUAACUUCCGACAGGAACAAAGUAGCGGAUUUUUUGUGCAAGAUAGGUACUCAGCUAACCCCCUCAAUCAUAUAUAUUACAUACUUCGCCGGAAGCUGCAACAGAGUUUUUACCGAUCUACAAGGAAUUCUAGCUACUAAGCAAAUAUUUAAGUGAUUGUGUAAUAAGUUAGCUCAUUACAGAAACUUAUCUGUAAUCAUUAGUUAUAAUAGUGAUUGUGUACUGCUUUAAUUAUAUAUAAUAUAUUCUUUCUACCAAAAAAA